rnacentral:tRNA from 1 species
GCCUUCGUGGUGUAACGGUAGCACGCUUGGCACGUUAUUUUGAAAGGUCCAGGUUAGAGUCCCGGCGAAGGUA